ACACACACACACACACACACACAGUUACACAUCUCCACCCAACUCUGAGGUACUGUACACACACACACACACACACACACACAGUUACACAUCUCCACCCAACUCUGAGGUACUGUACACACACACACACACACACAGUUACACAUCUCCACCCAACUCUGAGGUACUGUACACACACACACACACACACAGUUACACAUCUCCACCCAACUCUGAGGUACUGUACACACACACACACACACACAGUUACACAUCUCCACCCAACUCUGAGGUACUGUACACACACACACACACAGUUACACAUCUCCACCCAACUCUGAGGUACUGUACACACACACACACACACAGUUACACAUCUCCACCCAACUCUGAGGUACUGUACACACACACACACACACAGUUACACAUCUCCACCCAACUCUGAGGUACUGUACACACACACACACACACACAGUUACACAUCUCCACCCAACUCUGAGGUACUGUACACACACACACACACAGUUACACAUCUCCACCCAACUCUGAGGUACUGUACACACACACACACACACACAGUUACACAUCUCCACCCAACUCUGAGGUACUGUACACACACACACACACACACAGUUACACAUCUCCACCCAACUCUGAGGUACUGUACACACACACACACACAGUUACACAUCUCCACCCAACUCUGAGGUACUGUACACACACACACACACAGUUACACAUCUCCACCCAACUCUGAGGUACUGUACACACACACACACACAGUUACACAUCUCCACCCAACUCUGAGGUACUGUACACACACACACACACACACAGUUACACAUCUCCACCCAACUCUGAGGUACUGUACACACACACACACACACACAGUUACACAUCUCCACCCAACUCUGAGGUACUGUACACACACACACACACACACACAGUUACACAUCUCCACCCAACUCUGAGGUACUGUACACACACACACACACACACAGUUACACAUCUCCACCCAACUCUGAGGUACUGUACACACACACACACACAGUUACACAUCUCCACCCAACUCUGAGGUACUGUACACACACACACACAGUUACACAUCUCCACCCAACUCUGAGGUACUGUACACACACACACACACACAGUUACACAUCUCCACCCAACUCUGAGGUACUGUACACACACACACACACACACACAGUUACACAUCUCCACCCAACUCUGAGGUACUGUACACACACACACACACACAGUUACACAUCUCCACCCAACUCUGAGGUACUGUACACACACACACACACACACAGUUACACAUCUCCACCCAACUCUGAGGUACUGUACACACACACACACACAGUUACACAUCUCCACCCAACUCUGAGGUACUGUACACACACACACACACACACAGUUACACAUCUCCACCCAACUCUGAGGUACUGUACACACACACACACAGUUACACAUCUCCACCCAACUCUGAGGUACUGUACACACACACACACACACACACAGUUACACAUCUCCACCCAACUCUGAGGUACUGUACACACACACACACACACACACAGUUACACAUCUCCACCCAACUCUGAGGUACUGUACACACACACACACACACAGUUACACAUCUCCACCCAACUCUGAGGUACUGUACACACACACACACACACACACACACAGUUGCACAUCUCCACCCAACUCUGAGGUACUGUACACACACACACACACACACACACAGUUACACAUCUCCACCCAACUCUGAGGUACUGUACACACACACACACACACAGUUACACAUCUCCACCCAACUCUGAGGUACUGUACACACACACACACACACACACACACACAGUUACACAUCUCCACCCAACUCUGAGGUACUGUACACACACACACACACACACAGUUACACAUCUCCACCCAACUCUGAGGUACUGUACACACACACACACACACACACAGUUACACAUCUCCACCCAACUCUGAGGUACUGUACACACACACACACACACACACAGUUACACAUCUCCACCCAACUCUGAGGUACUGUACACACACACACACACAGUUGCACAUCUCCACCCAACUCUGAGGUACUGUACACACACACACACACACACAGUUACACAUCUCCACCCAACUCUGAGGUACUGUACACACACACACACACACAGUUACACAUCUCCACCCAACUCUGAGGUACUGUACACACACACACACACACACACAGUUACACAUCUCCACCCAACUCUGAGGUACUGUACACACACACACACACAGUUACACAUCUCCACCCAACUCUGAGGUACUGUACACACACACACACACACACAGUUACACAUCUCCACCCAACUCUGAGGUACUGUACACACACACACACACACACACAGUUACACAUCUCCACCCAACUCUGAGGUACUGUACACACACACACACACACACAGUUACACAUCUCCACCCAACUCUGAGGUACUGUACACACACACACACACACAGUUACACAUCUCCACCCAACUCUGAGGUACUGUACACACACACACACACACACAGUUACACAUCUCCACCCAACUCUGAGGUACUGUACACACACACACACAGUUACACAUCUCCACCCAACUCUGAGGUACUGUACACACACACACACACACACAGUUACACAUCUCCACCCAACUCUGAGGUACUGUACACACACACACACACACACAGUUACACAUCUCCACCCAACUCUGAGGUACUGUACACACACACACACACACAGUUACACAUCUCCACCCAACUCUGAGGUACUGUACACACACACACACACACACACACAGUUACACAUCUCCACCCAACUCUGAGGUACUGUACACACACACACACACACAGUUACACAUCUCCACCCAACUCUGAGGUACUGUACACACACACACACACACACACACACACAGUUACACAUCUCCAUCCAACUCUGAGGUACUGUACACACACACACACACACACAGUUACACAUCUCCACCCAACUCUGAGGUACUGUACACACACACACACACACACAGUUACACAUCUCCAUCCAACUCUGAGGUACUGUACACACACACACACACAGUUACACAUCUCCACCCAACUCUGAGGUACUGUACACACACACACACACACAGUUACACAUCUCCACCCAACUCUGAGGUACUGUACACACACACACACACACACAGUUACACAUCUCCAUCCAACUCUGAGGUACUGUACACACACACACACACACACACACAGUUACACAUCUCCAUCCAACUCUGAGGUACUGUACACACACACACACACACACACAGUUACACAUCUCCAUCCAACUCUGAGGUACUGUACACACACACACACACACACACACAGUUACACAUCUCCAUCCAACUCUGAGGUACUGUACACACACACACACACACACUACAUGUCUCCAUCCAGCUCUCAGCUCCACAGUGCUGUAAUUAGACUCUGAUCUGUAAUGUGUGUGUUCUGUGUACACUCCAGACUCAGUGUUAUGAAGUGUUAUAAUGCUUAAUAAUGCUCAGUGACUCUAACACAGUGUGUAUUCCUCUUACACUCGCUGAGAAUUUACUCACUAAUCUCUUCACUUUAAUGUGGUUUAUAAUAAACUCACAGUGCUGUUCGGCUGUUAAUGACACGCUCCCUAUGUAGGCACCCUACGUAGGCACCCUACUCCACAGGGCCAUCAGUAUGUGUGUGUGUGGUGUUGAUUAUUGUGGUGGAGCUGAUUAUCAGCACGUUAGUGGCUUUAUUAGUGUUGAAGCAGAAUCUCAGGAAACACUGUUGAAGAGAUCGAGCUGAUCUUUGGAGACAGAUCUCUGUAAGCUUCAUUUGUAGGUUGAUUUUAGAUGAUGAUGAUGAUGAUGAAGAUGAUGAUGAUUCAGUAACACUGGUGUUAGUGAAGCAGAAUUAACACACUAACACAUGCGAGUGUUUUAAAGACUCAACUUUGAGGUUUCCUGCGAAUCUGCUUCAGCUCAUCUCUGUUCCUGGGCGUGGUCUCGUCUCCACUUUGUGUGUGUGUGUGUGUGUGUGUGUGUGUGUGUGUGUGUGAGAGAGUGGGAACACGCCUCCUGUAAGAGUGACCAUGACGGAGCCUUGUUUGGGU